UGACAUAAAUACUGAUACGGGGUUUCUUUUGGGUCUCGUAAUUGGAAUGAGUACAAUCUAAAUCCCUUAACGAGGAACAAUUGGAGGGCAAGUCUGGUGCCAGCAGCCGCGGUAAUUCCAGCUCCAAUAGCGUAUAUUAAAGUUGUUGCAGUUAAAAAGCUCGUAGUUGAACCUUGGGUCUGGCUGGCCGGUCCGCCUCACCGCGAGUACUGGUCCGGCUGGACCUUUCCUUCUGGGGAACCUCAUGGCCUUCACUGGCUGUGGGGGGAACCAGGACUUUUACUGUGAAAAAAUUAGAGUGUUCAAAGCAGGCCUUUGCUCGAAUACAUUAGCAUGGAAUAAUAGAAUAGGACGUGCGGUUCUAUUUUGUUGGUUUCUAGGACCGCCGUAAUGAUUAAUAGGGAUAGUCGGGGGCGUCAGUAUUCAGCUGUCAGAGGUGAAAUUCUUGGAUUUGCUGAAGACUAACUACUGCGAAAGCAUUCGCCAAGGAUGUUUUCAUUAAUCAGGGAACGAAAGUUAGGGGAUCGAAGACGAUCAGAUACCGUCGUAGUCUUAACCAUAAACUAUGCCGACUAGGGAUCGGGCGGUGUUUCUAUGAUGACCCGCUCGGCACCUUACGA
rnacentral:rRNA from 1 species